rnacentral:misc_RNA from 1 species
GGUUCAUCAACAUCUACACUCGGAAAGUAAGAAAAAAAUAAGCAGAAAGCACAAGUAAAAACAAAAUAGAGGACAUUAAAAGCAGUUAGCAAUCAAGGUUUUCACCUAGUGCUGCUCAAGCUUAAUCACCAGUUAGUACUCAGUAACAAGCCAUGCUUUUUGUCUCAUGAUUUCCAGCUCAGAUAACAGAAUUGUGACAAUGCUCAAGUAACAGAGACUACAAACGACUAACUUUUUGUAAGCAC